UCUGGAAGAAUCUGGAGACAGGUGCUGCAUGGCUGUCGUCAGCUCGUGUCGUGAGAUGUUGGGUUAAGUCCCGCACGAGCGCAACCCUUGCCUUUAGUUGCCAGCAGUUCGGCUGGGCACUCUAAAGGGACUGCCGGUGUUAAACCGGAGGAAGGUGGGGAUGACGUCAAGUCCUCAUGGCCUUUAUGACCAGGGCUACACACGUACUACAAUGGCCGAUACAAAGGGCAGCGACACUGCGAGGUGAAGCCAAUCCCGUAAAAUCGGUCUCAGUCCGGAUUGGAGUCUGCAACUCGACUCCAUGAAGUUGGAAUCGCUAGUAAUCGUGGAUCAGCAUGCCACGGUGAAUACGUUCCCGGGCCUU
rnacentral:rRNA from 1 species